rnacentral:rRNA from 1 species
CCUACGGGAGGCAGCAGUAAGGAAUAUUGGUCAAUGGACGAAAGUCUGAACCAGCCAUGCCGCGUGGAGGAUGAAGGUCCUCUGGAUUGUAAACUUCUUUUAUAUGGGACGAAAAAAGGGUUUUCUAACUCGUCUGACGGUACCAUAUGAAUAAGCACCGGCUAACUCCGUGCCAGCAGCCGCGGUAAU